rnacentral:rRNA from 1 species
UACGGGGGGGGCAAGCGUUGUUCGGAAUUACUGGGCGUAAAGGGCUCGUAGGCGGCCAACUAAGUCGGACGUGAAAUCCCCAGGCUCAACCUGGGAACUGCGUCCGAUACUGGAUGGCUUGAAUUCGGGAGAGGGAUGCAGAAUUCCAGGCGUAGCGGUGAAAUGCGUAGAUAUCUGGAGGAAUACCGGUGGCGAAGGCGGCAUCCUGGACCGACAUUGACGCUGAGGAGCGAAAGCUAGGGGAGCAAACGGG